UUAAGUAAGGAAGGGCGUACGGCGAAUGCCUGGCCACUCGAAACUGAAGAAGGACGCGCCAAACUGCGAAAAGCUCCGUGAAGCUGUAAGGAAGCGAAGAAGCGGAGGUGUCCGAAUGGGGGAACCCGGCAGCAGACAUGAGCUGUCAUCUGCAGGUGAAUACAUGGCCUGCAAGAGAGGUACCCGGCGAACUGAAACAUCUAAGUAGCCGGAGGAAAAGAAAACAACAGUGAUUCCCUGAGUAGCGGCGAGCGAAAGGGGAGAAGCCCAAACCGGUCCAAGGACCGGGGUUGAAGGACCAUGAUAUGGCAAAAGAGAGGAUAGAAGAACGGGAUCGAAAGCCCGGCCGAAGAAGGUGCAAGCCCUGUAUUUGAAAUCUGAUUGAAGCCUAAUGGGAUCCUGAGUACGGCGAGACACGAGGAAUCUUGUCGGAAGCAGGCGGGACCAUCCGCCAAGGCUAAAUAUAAACGAGUGAGCGAUAGUGAACCAGUACCGUGAGGGAAAGGUGAAAAGAACCGCGGGAGCGGAGUGAAAGAGAACCUGAAACCGUAUGCCUACAAGAAGUCAGAGCCCGUUAAGGGGUGAUGGCGUGCCUUUUGUAGAAUGAACCGGCGAGUUGCGACAGACUGCGAGGUUAAGGAGGAAAGACCGGAGCCGAAGCGAAAGCGAGUCUUAACAGGGCGAAAGUAGGAUGUUGCAGACCCGAAACCGGGUGAUCUAGCCAUGAGCAGGUUGAAGUUGAGGUGAAACUCAAUGGAGGACCGAACCGACUACCGUUGAAAAGUUAGCGGAUGACUUGUGGCUAGGGGAGAAAUUCCAAUCGAACCCGGAGAUAGCUGGUUCUCCCCGAAAUAGCUUUAGGGCUAGCGUUGGAAAGAACCUUAGUGAAGGUAGAGCACUGAAUGUGUGAUGGCCCCAUCCCGGGGUACUGAAUACAAUCAAACUGCGAAUGUCAUUAAGGAUGUCCGGCAGUCAGACUGUGAGUGAUAAGGUCCAUGGUCAAGAGGGAAACAGCCCAGACCGCCAGUUAAGGUCCCAAAAUACAGGCUAAGUGGAAAAGGAUGUGGGGAUGCCCAGACAACUAGGAGGUUGGCUCAGAAGCAGCCAUCCUUUAAAGAGUGCGUAACAGCUCACUAGUCGAGUGACCCUGCGCCGAAAAUGUACCGGGGCUAAGCCUGAUACCGAAACUGCGGAUUGUAGGAAACUAUAGUGGUAGGGGAGCGUUGUAUACGAGUAGAAGCCGUACCGUGAGGAGCGGUGGAUUGUAUAGAAGUGAGAAUGCCGGUGUGAGUAGCGAGAUGUAGGUGAGAAUCCUACACACCGAAAGCCCAAGGAUUCCAGGGGAAGGUUCGUCCGCCCUGGGUAAGUCGGGACCUAACGCGAGGCCGAAAGGCGUAGUGGAUGGAAAGCAGGCGAAAGAUUCCUGCACCCGUAUAUGGAGCGAAGGAGUGACGGAGACGGAUAGUGUGACCCUCUUAAUGGAUUGAGGGCGAAGCGAAGCGGCUGGUUACCAGGCAAAUCCGGUAACCAUAAGGCUAGAGCGUGACAGGUAAGCGAAAUCUACGGAAAGUAGCGAAGCACAUGAUGACGGCUUCCAGGAAAAGCUUCUGGCAAUGCAUAUGCGGCCCGUACCAAAACCGACACAGGUGGGCAGGGAGAGAAUCCCGAGGUGAGCGAGAGAACUGUUGCCAAGGAACUCGGCAAAAUGACUCCGUAAGUUAGCGAGAAGGAGUGCUUAAGCAAUUAAGCCGCAGUGAAGAGGCCCAAGCGACUGUUUAACUAAAACACAGCUCUCUGCGAAGUCGCAAGACGAAGUAUAGGGGGUGACACCUGCCCGGUGCUGGAAGGUUAAGAGGAUCUGUUAAGAGCGAUCUGAAGCAGUGAUCCGAAGCCCCAGUGAACGGCGGCCGUAACUAUAACGGUCCUAAGGUAGCGAAAUUCCUUGUCAGGUAAGUUCUGACCC
rnacentral:rRNA from 1 species